rnacentral:rRNA from 1 species
UGGGGAAUAUCUGGACAAUGGGGGCAACCCUGAUCCAGCAAUUCUGUGUGCACGAUGAAGGUCUUCGGAUUGUAAAGUGCUUUCAGCAGGGAAGAAAAAAAUGACGGUACCUGCAGAAGAAGCGACGGCUAAAUACGUGCCAGCAGCCGCGGUAAUACGUAUGUCGCGAGCGUUAUCCGGAAUUAUUGGGCAUAAAGGGCAUCUAGGCGGCCCUGUAAGUCUAGGGUGAAAACCUGCGGCUCAACCGCAGGCCUGCCCCGGAAACUACAGGGCUAGAGUGCUGGAGAGGUGGACGGAACUGCACGAGUAGAGGUGAAAUUCGUAGAUAUGUGCAGGAAUGCCGAUGAUGAAGAUAGUUCACUGGACGGCAACUGACGCUGAAGUGCGAAAGCUAGGGGAGCAAACAGGAUUAGAUACCCUGGUAGUCCUAGCUGUAAACGAUGAUUACUGGGUGUGGGCAUGAAGAGUGUCCGUGCCGAAGCUAAUGCGAUAAGUAAUCCGCCUGGGGAGUACGGCCGCAAGGGCUG